rnacentral:ncRNA from 2 species
ACUGAUCAUCAGGAGUGGCCCCUCGGGGUCCGGCAACCUGGGACGGACACCCAAGGUGCCUUCUCGCUUCGGCGAGGAUGUGGCAGACCGCGCAGGUUCGCAACCAAGUGUCCGAAG